CCGGCUGGCGUGCUGGAACAGAGACUGCUGCGGGCGCUGCUGAGACUCGAGGGCAGUCGACAUCAGCUGACGGAGCGCGAGCGUCAGCUGCUGGAGCGGCGCCGCGCCGUGGAGGAGGUGCUGCGGCGACAGGCGGCGCUCGAACAUGAGGAGCGGGCCGUGCGCAGUCUGGAGCGGCGCGCACUGCGCCGGGGCGUGCCCGGAGACGGUGCCGCCUCUGUCCCGGCGGACCGGCCGUCGGCGGGGACCGGCGCCGACACCUCCCAGUCCCAGGAGGAGGGCGGUCGGUCGGCCGCCCGCACCGCCACCGCCAC